CUACGCACUCCUACGGGAGGCAGCAGUGGGGAAUAUUGCACAAUGGGCGCAAGUCCUGAUGCUAGCCAUGCCGCGUGUAUGAAGAAGGCCUUCGGGUUGUAAAGUACUUUCAGCAGUGAGGAAGGUGGAUAUGUUAAUAGCAUAUUCAUUUGACGUUAGCUGCAGAAGAAGCACCGGCUAACUCCGUGCCUAGCAGCCGCGGUAAUACGGAGGGUGCGAGCGUUAAUCGGAAUUACUGGGCGUAAAGCGCAUGCAGGUGGUUUGUUAAGUCAGAUGUGAAAGCCCGGGGCUCAACCUCGGAAUUGCAUUUGAAACUGGCAAACUAGAGUACUGUAGAGGGGGUAGAAUUUCAGGUGUAGCGGUGAAAUGCGUAGAGAUCUGAAGGAAUACCGGUGGCGAAGGCGGCCCCCUGGACAGAUACUGACACUCAGAUGCGAAAGCGUGGGGAGCAAACAGGAUUAGAUACCCUGGUAG
rnacentral:rRNA from 1 species